rfam:Cicer arietinum chromosome Ca7, whole genome shotgun sequence.
AUAUUGAAGUGGAUGGAGUCAAUGGGUGAUCAGAAAGGUCAUUGCUUAGUUUUGUGUCUUCCAUUGCACUUAGGAGGAGUAUUCACCUAAGGUCUACCUAAGUGGUGGAGGGUACAUCAUAAUUUGUUAUAGUGGUGGCUUGCGUUUGCCUUGUCCCUUC